CUCCUCACUCUGACGCCUCCCCAAGAGUCCAUCUUUGCCAGACACAGACCUAUAAUCCCAGCUACCCAAGAGGCUCCAGGAAGUGGGGUGGGGUGUGUGUCUGAAAAAGAGUCCAUCCUUG